AAAAAUAAUUACGAGUCUCCCGGACACGGCGGUUGAUAAUCGUCCGUCUCCUCUUAGCUAAAAACAUUUACGUUUAUAAGAAUUUCGUAAUGAGAGGGCGAGACUGUCUGAUCGCAUUCCUCCGCAACCCCGUUGUCGUCAGGGUCUCGGUCGCUUAGUCUCGCGGGUAUGCCCGAACGAUUUGUGAGCAAAGGAAAAAAAAAUUUAUAUAAUUACGCGCGUCGAUUCUUCAAAGUCAUGCUACGCGAAGUCACGUGUUCCAGAUAUGCACUCGAGAAAAGCAAUGAAGCAAUGAAUAAAAAGAAGAGAAUUUUCGUUUUGCAAAUUUUGUUGGAUGUAUCACGUAUCUGCGAAUCAAUCAUUUUAUUUCGCACUUUUAUGUGGACGGCACAGUUGUAUCGGGAAUACUGACACUUUAUCCAAGGCAAUUGGAAUAACUUAUUUACUACCACUACUGUUUGCAAAUGAAGACACCGUGUUAUCUGCUAAUUAUGGCGUGUUUGCACGAGGCAAUAAUAAGGCAUCUUUAAUCAUAUAACACAGAGAUGCAGAUACUUAUCUUCCUAUUCCUACUUUGUCUGAGGUAUGGACGGAUAUCGGUAGUGGACGACACGGCCUCGGGAUUAACUCUCUCUGAGCACAUUGGACAAGUCUCUUCAGACUCCACGAUUCUAGCGUAAUACGAAAUACAUUGCAACAUGAUUUUAAAUAUAGUAUUCACACCCUUCUCGUAAUAUUUACCUUAGAAAUUCACUUCUGAUGGCUGGAAAAUCACAAUGGGGGCAUACCGUAAAAUCAUCCUCGACGAUGUGCCGUCCCUGUAGAUACGCGAUAGUCAUAGAAAUAAAAGAACUUCAUUGAUUCCUCUUUUCACCAUGUUUUUACACUUAUCACAGGUCACUUCAGUCUCAGGAAGCCUGCUCUUACAGUAUGGACACGAGGUGAGAGGCUCAUCUUCGUUCUCGAUAUCCUUUGUUCUCGGUGGUUUCCUCACGAUUGCCUCAAUUUUCUUGCUGUACUUUGCGUCGACUUGUCCCCGAUACUCGGGGCGCAUCAACAUAGCGGCGAAAUUGAAAGCUGCGUUCUUCAAGCCCGCUCUGUGACAUUCUAUCACGGUUGAAGUUAAUAUCGAAAUGACUCUUGCUGUACUAACGUGAGGGAAACUUCGAUAUGUUGUUGGCCACUCUUAUAAGCAUCCGAGCACCUCGUAAAUGAUCACUUCUUUUCACGUGUAAUCUCACUAGGAUAUAAGAAUGCAAGAGUCUUAAAU
rnacentral:lncRNA from 1 species